CAUCCGUAGGUGAACCUGCGGAAGGAUCAUUACUGAGAGGUCUAAAAAACCACUAGUUGGGGGUCUCUUCCCCUCUAGUAGUUCCUCACAGUUUUGUGCAAAGUCGGGUCAACUUGGUUGGCUCUGCCUUGUGCUGUAGAUCUGGUUGUUGGCAUAGAGACCCUCCUUUUAGGAGACUUGUGCCACUACUAAGAUCUAGGCUGCUUGAAAAGAGACGUAUGGACCCUUCUUUCAGGAGACCUAUGUCUCGAGUCAAAGCAAGCAAGGCAAGCCUUUGGGGCUCUAGUACUAACUAUCCCCAAAGGUGUUUAUUCUUCUCGUGUAAACCAUGAUGUACGAAAAAGUUAGUUGUUAACUUAAAAACAACUCUUGGCAAUGGAUCUCUUGGUUCUCGCAUCGAUGAAGAGCGUAGCAAAGUGCGAUAAUUAUUGCGACUUGCAUUCAUAGCGAAUCAUCGAGUUCUCGAACGCAUCUUGCGCCUAGUAGUCAAUCUACUAGGCACAGUUGUUUCAGUAUCUGCAACUACCAAUCAGUUCAACUUGGUUCUUUGAACCUAAGCGAGCUGGAAAUGGGCUUGUGUUGAUGGCAUUCAGUUGCUGUCAUGGCCUUAAAUACAUUUAGUCCUAGGCAAUUGGCUUUAGUCAUUUGCCGGAUGUAGACUCUAGAGUGCCUGAGGAGCAACGACUUGGUUAGUGAGUUCAUAAUUCCAAGUCAAUCAGUCUCUUCUUGAACUAGGUCUUAAUCUUUACGGACUAGCGAGAGGAUCUAACUUGGGUCUUCUCUUAAACAAACUCACAUCUAGAUCUGAAAUCAACUGAGAUCACCCGCUGAACUUAAGCAUAUCAAUAAGCGGAGGUGC
rnacentral:rRNA from 1 species